rnacentral:rRNA from 2 species
GUGGGCGGGCGGCAGCUAUACAUGCAGUCGAGCGACUGAUUAGAAGCUUGCUUCUAUGACGUUAGCGGCGGACGGGUGAGUAACACGUGGGCAACCUGCCUGUAAGACUGGGAUAACUUCGGGAAACCGAAGCUAAUACCGGAUAGGAUCUUCUCCUUCAUGGGAGAUGAUUGAAAGAUGGUUUCGGCUAUCACUUACAGAGGGCCCGCGGUGCAUUAGCUAGUUGGUGAGGUAACGGCUCACCAAGGCUUAAGGAUGAUAAGAUCCUGAGAGGGUGAUCGGCCACACUGGGACUGAGACACGGCCCAGACUCCUACGGGAGGCAGCAGUAGGGAAUCUUCCGCAAUGGACGAAAGUCUGACGGAGCAACGCCGCGUGAGUGAUGAAGGCUUUCGGGUCGUAAAACUCUGUUGUUAGGGAAGAACAAGUACGAGAGUAACUGCUCGUACCUUGACGGUACCUAACCAGAAAGCCACGGCUAACUACGUGCCAGCAGCCGCGGUAAUACGUAGGUGGCAAGCGUUAUCCGGAAUUAUUGGGCGUAAAGCGCGCGCAGGCGGUUUCUUAAGUCUGAUGUGAAAGCCCACGGCUCAACCGUGGAGGGUCAUUGGAAACUGGGGAACUUGAGUGCAGAAGAGAAAAGCGGAAUUCCACGUGUAGCGGUGAAAUGCGUAGAGAUGUGGAGGAACACCAGUGGCGAAGGCGGCUUUUUGGUCUGUAACUGACGCUGAGGCGCGAAAGCGUGGGGAGCAAACAGGAUUAGUACCUU